rnacentral:rRNA from 1 species
AUGAUCCGGUUGCAGACGUACGCCGUGUUCAGCCUGCUGGCGACGAUAACGUCGGUGUACUAUGCGUUCAGCAGCAGGGAGCAGUUCUACCCGGCCAUGGUCUACCUCUCCACCUCCAAGAUAUGCUUCGUGCUGCUCCUCAACACGGGCCUCGUCGCCAUGUGCGUCGCCUGGCAGCUCGUGAAGCGCGUCUUCCUGGGGACGCUCCGGGAGGCCGAGGUCGAGCGGCUCAACGAGCAGUCGUGGCGUGAGGUCGUGGAGAUCCUCUUCGCGGUCACCAUCUUCCGCCAGGAUUUCUCCGUCUCUUUCCUCGCCAUGGUCGCCGCCCUGCUCCUCGUCAAGGCUCUGCACUGGCUUGCGCAGAAGAGGGUCGAGUACAUUGAGACCACACCCUCCGUGCCAAUGCUGUCGCACAUAAGGAUCGUGUCCUUCAUGCUAUUCCUUCUUGUCGUCGACUGCCUCUUCCUGGCGAACUCGCUGGGGUCGCUGAUACAGAAGCGGGAGGCAUCUGUUGCAAUCUUCUUUUCCUUUGAGUAUAUGAUACUGGCAACAUCGACAGUAUCGACAUUCGUGAAGUAUGUAUUCUAUGUCAGCGACAUGCUAGCGGAAGGUCAAUGGGAGAAUAAAGCAGUGUAUACAUUUUAUUUGGAGCUUAUCAGCGACCUUGUGCACUUGUCUUUAUAUAUGCUAUUCUUCAUAGCGAUCUUCCUGAACUAUGGUGUCCCACUGCACUUGAUUCGUGAGCUGUAUGAGACCUUCCGCAACUUCAGAAUUCGCAUUUCAGAUUAUGUGCGCUACAGAAAGGUGACUUCCAACAUGAAUGAACGCUUUCCAGAUGCUACACCAGAUGAGCUCGAUGCGAGUGAUGUCACAUGUAUUAUUUGCCGUGAAGAGAUGACCACAGCAAAGAAGCUGCUUUGUGGGCACUUGUUCCAUGUACAUUGUUUGAGGUCAUGGCUACAGCGCCAACAUACUUGCCCAACAUGUAGAGCUCCAAUUAUCCCCCCAGAUAAUGGACGUGCAGCAUCAGCACAACAGCAUGGAGCUCAACCUGGAGUUCAGCCUGGCACUGGUACUCCAAGUUCAGGAGGAGCACCAACUGAGAACGUGAACAUGCGUCAAUUAAAACUUGAGGCUGCUGCUUCAGCUGCUUCCUUGUAUGGGAGAUCAUUUGCUUAUCCUCCAGUGAACACUUUGAAUAGGCACUCAGGACCUCUGCACGCAACACCAAGUACCUCACAAUCAGGAGAAGCAAGUACUUCCACUGGCCAUCCAUUAGAACCUCAGCCUUCUUAUUCACGUGGUCCAGUUAGUUCAAUAACUGGUAGCGGGGACCCUGGAAAUUCACUACAAAAGGCAUAUGAAAAGGCUAUAAGGAGCCAGAUAGAGGUGUUGCAAAUCCAAUUGCAAAUGAUGCAGCAAGGGGCCACCGCAUCAACAACUAGCAACGAGAACGCUGAGCAAGCCGGAAAAUAA